GUUAGCCGGAAUCUGUUUCUGGGAUUUAAGAGUGGCCGUGAGGGGAAUUUCCUCAGACCAAGCAUCGAUUCGUUCAAGUACAAAGCUCCAGGGUUUUCCAGUUUCCAGCAGCCUGGUCUCCAAGGGAAUUCCUGGCUUCAAGUGAGAUUUGGCAGGGGCUAAUCUGUUCAUGGAUUUCUAUUGAGAGUAUUCUGGAUUUUACUGCUUUGGAUUUUCUGCAAGCUUUCUGGACAUUGCUGUUUGCUGUUUCAUUUUGACUUCUUUACCUUUGGACUUCUAUCAUUCAAUAAAAAGGGAUUGUAUUUUUCCUAAACCAAGGUGUGGUGUAUUAAUGACAAGAGGGCUCGGUUUCCUGCACUGGAGUGCAACAAAUGGAAGGAAAAAGGAAGAGGGGCCGACCAAGGGCAAGAUGGAUGGAUGGCAUCCUUGAAGUGACUGGACUGACCUUGAAGGAGCUGGGGGUGGUGACGGCCGACAGGGAGCUCUAGCGUGGGCCGGUCCAUGAGGUCACGAAGAGUUGGAAACGACUGAACGAAUGAACAACAACAAUGGACAUCCUGCAGAACAUUUUGCCGUAGUCUCAACCAAUUCAACAUAGUUUGUGGCAGCCACAAAAACAAAGCUUCCGGAGUAUAACAACUACUUUCAAAGUACCUCUGUGGCUUUCUAGUGUUUGGCAUAUACUGUACGUGUUUAACAUAAUCUCAGAGCCAUGUUUGAUCCAGAAUGUUAAUCAAACAUUUAGAAUUGGGCUCCUGACAACUUAUCAAAUAUUUAGAACUAUUUUGUGCUGGGAAACAGGGUGCACUCUGAGUCCUGUUUCCUAGUAAAAUAACUGGGAUUUCUACAGCUUCUUCAGUGACAGCAGCUGCUUCAGCAAAAAGAAGGCCCUCAAGAAUUCCAGGGAUACAAAUGAAGUUCUCAAAGCUGCCCAUUCAGUAGUGUGAUAAAUGAAAUGAAGAAAGCUAGGCACAGAUUUGAUACAGUAAAAUGAAUGGGACAAGUUAUGACUACGAUAUCCCGCAGUGUGAUGAACUUGCUCUAGAUCCAACCUAUUUUAAAAUAUUAUUUUAUACAGAACAUCCAAAAUUAAAUCUGAAAGUGUGUUACCAUGCAAUCCUACAUAUGACUACCCAGCAGAAAGUCCCACUGGAUGCAAUGGAAUUUGUCACCUCAUCAUUGUAGAAUCUUAGAAUAUUGUCAUAAU